rnacentral:rRNA from 1 species
CCUACGGGAGGCAGCAGUGGGGAAUAUUGCACAAUGGGGGAAACCCUGAUGCAGCGACGCCGCGUGAGUGAAGACGUAAUUCGUUAUGUUAAGCUCUUUCUGUAGGGAAGAAAAUGACGGUACCUGAGUAAGAUGCCCCGGCUAACUACGUGCCAGCAGCCGUGGUAAUACGCCGGGGGCAGGCGUUAUCCGGAUUUAAUGGGCGUAAAGGGAGUGUAGACGGGAGUGCAAGACUGGAGUGAAAGGCGGGGGCUCAACCCCCGGAGUGCCCUGGAAACUGUACGGCUGGAGUGCAGGAGAGGUAAGUGGAAUUCCUAGUGUAGCGGUGAAAUGCGUAGAUAUUAGGAAGAACACCAGUGGCGAAGGCGGCUUACUGGACUGAAACUGACGUUGAGGCUCGAAAGCGUGGGGAGCAAACAGGAUUAGAUACCCCAGUAGUC